GGUCAGUUUGCAGAAUCCAUUAAAGGGAACAAACUGAUAUCAAAGUUUUUUAACAAUCCAAGUCAUUUUUGAGAAUCCAUCCAGGGAGUAAGCAAGAGAAGUAUUCCAUUACCAAAGCCGAGGUUAGAAUCAGUGAAGUUAUCAGAAGUUAUGUAGGAACGAAGAAAGGAGUUAUUAGGAAGAGGCUUUGGGGCUCAGAGUUGCGGUACCUGCAAGAAAC